CCUACGGGAGGCAGCAGUGAGGAAUAUUGGUCAAUGGUCGGGAGACUGAACCAGCCAAGCCGCGUGAGGGAGGAAGGUACAGAGUAUCGUAAACCUCUUUUGUCAGGGAACAAAGGCGGGGACGUGUCCCCGGAUGAGUGUACCUGAAGAAAAAGCAUCGGCUAACUCCGUGCCAGCAGCCGCGGUAAUACGGAGGAUGCGAGCGUUAUCCGGAUUUAUUGGGUUUAAAGGGUGCGCAGGCGGGCUGUUAAGUCAGCGGUCAAAGCCCGGGGCUCAACCCCGGCCCGCCGUUGAAACUGGCAGGCUCGAGAUGGAGAGAAGUAUGCGGAAUGCGCGGUGUAGCGGUGAAAUGCAUAGAUAGCGCGCAGAACUCCGAUUGCGAAGGCAGCAUGCCGGCUCCACACUGACGCUGAGGCACGAAAGCGUGGGUAUCAAACAGGAUUAGAUACCCGGGUAGUC
rnacentral:rRNA from 1 species